AUGUUCCGGAAAUUCCGGGAAUGUUCCGGAAAUUCCGGGAAUGUUCUGGAAUUCCGGGAAUUUUCUGGGAAUUUUGGGAAUUUUCUGGGAUUUUUGGGGAAUUUUCUGGGAUUUUUGGGGAAUUUUCUGGGAAUUUUCUGGAAUUUUCUGGAAUCCUGGGAAUGUUCUGGAUCUUUGGGAAUGUUCCGGGGAUUUCUGGAAUUUUCCUGGAAUUUCUGGGAAUUUUCCCUGGAAUUUCUGGGAAUUUUUCCUGGAAUUUUCUGGGAAUUUUCCUGGAAUUUCUGGGAAUUUUCUGGGAAUUUUCGGGAAUUUUCCGGGAAUUUUCUGGGAAUUUUUCCUGGAAUUUUCUGGGAAUUUUCCGGGAAUUUCUGGGAAUUUUCUGGGAAUUUUUGGGAAUUUUCCGGGAAUUUUCUGGGGGUUUCCGGAAGGUUCCGCUCACACCACGAGGCUCUCCCGGCUCAGGGCGUCGUUCUGGGGGUGGGGGAGGGGAAAAAAGGGGGUGAGACCCCCCCAAAUUAUCCAAAUUUAUCCCAAAUUUAUCCCAAAAUUAUCCCAAAUUAUCCCAAAUAUCCCAAAUUUAUCCCAAAAUUAUCCCAAAUAAUUUGAAAUCCACCCCAAAUUAUCCCAAAUUAUCCCAAAUUAUCCAAAUUUAUCCCAAAAUUAUCCCAAAUUAUCCCAAAAUUAUCCCAAAUUUAUCCCAAAAUUAUCCCAAAUUUAUCCCAAAUUAUCCCAAAUAUCCCAAAUUAUCCCAAAUUUAUCCCAAAAUAUCCCAAAAUUACCCCAAAGAAUUCAAAAUCCUGCCCCAAAUUAUUCCAAAUUAUCCCAAAUUCCCCAAAUUUAACCCAAAUUCUUCCGAAUUUUACCCCAAAUCCCCCAAAUUCCCCCCAAAUUCCUCAAAUUACCCCAAAUUAUCCCAAAUUUUACCCCAAAUUAUCCCAAAAUUCCCAAAAUUCCCCCAAAUUAUCACAAUUUAUCCCAAAUUUUACCCCGAAUUUUCCCAAAAUUCCCCAAAAU
rnacentral:lncRNA from 1 species